rnacentral:rRNA from 1 species
UACAUGUGGGGCAAGCGUUGUUCGGAAUUACUGGGCAUAAAGGGUGCGUAGGCGGCUUGUUAAGUCACUGGUGAAAGUUUUCGGCCCAACCGGAAAAUUGCCUGUGAUACUGGCGAGCUCGAGUGCGUGAGGGGUGGGGGGAACGAGCAGUGUAGCGGUGAAAUGCGUAGAUAUUGCUCGGAAGGCCGGAGCCGAAGGGGCCCCACUGGUACGCAACUGACGCUGAGGCACGAAAGCGUGGGGAGCAAACGGG